UCAGGGAGAAGUCUCUUCGGGGAUGAUUAAACCGGCGCACGGGUGAGUAACACGUGAGUGACCUGCCUUUUAGACUGGAACAACUUACCGAAAGGUGAGCUAAUGCCGGAUGAGUUAUAUAAGUGCAUGUUUAUAUAGGAAAAGUUGGGGAGACCUGACGCUGAAAGAUGGACUCGCGUCCCAUUAGCUAGUUGGUAGGGUAAUGGCCUACCAAGGCGACGAUGGGUAGCCGGCCUGAGAGGGUGGCCGGCCACACUGGGACUGAGACACGGCCCAGACUCCUACGGGAGGCAGCAGUGGGGAAUUUUGCGCAAUGCUCGUAAGAGUGACGCAGCGACGCCGCGUGAAUGACGAAGGCCUUCGGGUCGUAAAGUUCUUUCGACAGGGAAGAAAAUGCCUAUAAGUAACUGUGUAUGUAUUGACGGUACCUGUAUAAGCAGCCCCGGCUAACUCCGUGCCAGCAGCCGCGGUAAUACGGAGGGGGCGAGCGUUGUUCGGAGUGACUGGGCGUAAAGAGCACGUAGGCGGUGUUGUAAGUCAUUAGUCAAAGACUAGAGCUCAACUUUAGUAAGGCUAGUGAUACUAUAAUACUAGAGUAUCAGAGAGGAUUGCAGAAUUCCUGGUGUAGCGGUGAAAUGCGUAGAUAUCAGGAGGAAUACCGUUAGCGAAGGCG
rnacentral:rRNA from 1 species